rnacentral:rRNA from 1 species
AUACGGAGGAUCCGAGCGUUAUCCGGAUUUAUUGGGUUUAAAGGGUGCGCAGGCGGCCAUUUAAGUCAGCGGUUAAAUCGUGGGGCUCAACCCCAUUCUGCCGUUGAUACUGCGUGGCUUGAUUGCGGUCGAGGUUGGCGGAAUUCGUUGUGUAGCGGUGAAAUGCAUAGAUAUGACGAAGAACACCGAUUGCGUAGGCAGCUGACCAGACCGCAAAUGACGCUCAUGCACGAAAGGGCGGGGAUCGAACAGGAUUAGAUGCCCUGGUAGUCCGCACAGUAAACGAUGAAUACUUGUUUUCGGCGAUAUAAUGUCGGAGGCAAAGCGAAAGCGAUAAGUAUUCCACCUGGGGAGUACGCCGGCAACGGUGAAACUCAAAGGAAUUGACGGGG